CAUGAUGCUUCCAAGUUGAUGCAACGUGGAGUAUGAUGAAGGUUGUUGUGACCGUGUGUGCUCUCUUCAAGCAGCAGGAAGUUUCCAAACAAAUUGCUUGCUGAAUCGUGGCAGCUUGAUGGCCCUGCACCUCUUUGCUAGACAAUGCUGCUACACAUCUUAGUUGUUGUCCAAACCGUGUGGACCGUGUUUAAUUGUGUGGCUAUUGCAGCUUCAAGUUUGCUGGGCCAGCUUUCACCAAAAGAAAAAUUACAAAUGGCCGGACAGCAUGCUAAUUGCUAGACAUCACCCCCUUUUCAAUUUAAGCACACCUAUUUCAUAAGCCCAAAAGGUUAAAAUGACCAUAGUAUCCUCCUUGUUGUCCACACUUCUAU
rnacentral:lncRNA from 1 species